rnacentral:lncRNA from 10 species
AAGUGAUGGGAGGAGAAUGACAGAUGCUUAGAUCCUCUGUCCCCAUGGAGAGACAGACCUUGCCUGUUGGAGUGUAGUGGCACAUUGUGUGGUCUGUGUACUGAAUCACUGAUUUAAAUAUUGCAGCAGCUGGAGUGCAAAGUAUAUCAGCAAAUACUACAGGAGGAGGAGUGCAUGUGUCCUGAAUACAAAAUGAGGAAGCAGGGGCAAAGAGGGAAUGAGUACAUGAAUCAGUCUCAUACAGCUUGUAAAUGGUGGGACCAAGAUUGAGACAGCCUGAUUCCAGUGUCCAUGCACUUAACUACUAUGCGUGAUUAAACAUUAAUUUAAGUAUUAAUUAAUUAUUAAACAAAAAAACAAAGCAAAA